GAUGUCCUCUUGUGGCCUUGGGUAGCUGCCCUUUCUUGUCAUCUUAGCUACGUUUCUCUCUCAUUCAUUACAUUGUAAUAUUUAAGACGGAUCACCAUCAUUGACGUCGCUUUGGCCGAGUGGUUAAGGCGUGUGCCUGCUAAGUACAUGGGGUUUCCCCGCGAGAGUUCGAAUCUCUCAGGCGACGUAUUUGUUUUUUUUCUUCCCCGUACUCUUUCCAACAUCAAUCAAAAUUGUCAGGAAAUCCACAACUAGUAUAAUCUAGUUAACAGGUGGAGGUUUCAGUAUAGUAAAACUGAAGACAAAUACAAGCCUGCAAUUAUGGCUGCUGGCACAAGAUGUUGGCUACAGACUACACCUCAGGUGAAGAUUGCGAGUCCUUACGGUACUUUGAACUUCGUCGAUUCCAUUGAAUGGUGAUUUGCAGAAUCUGCUGUUUUUGAAACUGUUGGAUGAACCAUCUUUAUUUAUUUUUGCAAUGUCAUGUGGGUUACAUUUACAUAUUUGGAUUAUAUCUUAUUAGGUUUCGAAGCAAAUGCUACAAAAGAAUAAGAAUUUUCAUAUCUUUACCAAGAAUCUGAUUAUGUGGAAUGAGAGGUAGAAGGGUGUCUUGGUAGUCUUGAAAGGUGGAAUUGUAUGUGCUGGUACACACAGAUACAUAUGUUUUCCCAUAGCAACCCUAUAGCCCAGUGGACAGUAGUCUGAGAUUUAGCGCUGAGCGCCAGUGAUUAGUAAUUAUGAAGUCAGGGGACGUCCGAGAUUCUAUUUUGUGCAAAAUUUUUGCUGCAGAUUUACAAUAGCUUGAGGAGUGGCUCAGAAAAUUGUCAUGGCUAGUAUGGUCAAGCAAAUGCAAUUGAAAUUCAACCAAUAUUGAUGUUGUUGUGUGCUGAAAUCUUGGAUCUGCAACGCAAGAUUAGGUUUUCCAGUAUUGCCAUACUAGCUGUAUGGUUGUGCUGUGCGGCAAGACAUUGUGAUGGUCAGGAAGACUGUUCCUCCUUUUCUGCCUCUGCUCUGGUACCUCCUACUCCUCCUGCUGCUGCUGCUAAUUUAGAUAGUCAUGGGUUUGAAGAUGAUAAAACAUCAACGGAGUCCUAGUUUUAAACACAAGUGGAGAAGGCAGAGGUAAAUCUUUACCUAGAAGAACCUAGCAAUUAUCUAAAUACUGAAAUUGAUGUCUCACAAUAUUGACUUUCAUCUUCAUUAGCAGAUUCAGGGCUACCAGGAAUUCUCACAAUUUCUUAGCCAGCUAAGUUUGCUUUCGUUAUUGUAAACUCUGUGUUCCGACUAUAUUUUAUGGACUAUACAUUCUGGUUGUCUAAAAUCUGGUCUAGGAAAGCAGGCAAUUUGGGGAAGUUAACUAUUAGUGUAAAGAUAGAUAUUUCUGUAUGAUAAUUGCUUGUGAGUGAGGUGAUUUGAACAGUGUCAUUUCACUAUUGAUACUGUUGAUGAGUCUUCUUUAGCACAUUACAGAAUGUGGUGGUUUCUUUUUUCAAAUGCCCUGUAAAGGUUAAAUAAGGAACACUUGAGAUUUUGAUGCAGUUGGCAUAUAUACUUAGUGGAGAAUAAGCAUAUCAAUGGAA